rnacentral:miRNA from 1 species
UAUUAGGUUGGUGCAAAAGUAAUUGCAGUUUUGCCAUUACAUUUAAUGGCAAAAAUAGCAAUUACUUUUGUACCAAGCUAAUA